rnacentral:rRNA from 1 species
GAAUUUAUAUUCAUGGCGAACGGCUGAGUAACGCGUGGGAACGUACCCCAAAGUCAGGAAUAACCCAUCGAAAGAUGGGAUAAUACUUGAUAUGCCUUCGGGUGAAAGAUUUAUCGCUUUGGGAGCGGCCUGCGUCCGAUUAGCUUGUUGGUGAGGUAAAAGCUCACCAAGGCUCUGAUCGGUAGGGGGCUCGAGAGGGUGACCCCCCAGACUGGGACUGAGACACGGCCCAGACUCC